CUUAGUGGCGGACGGGUGAGUAACGCGUGGGUAACCUGCCUUAUACAGGGGGAUAACACUUAGAAAUAGGUGCUAAUACCGCAUAAGCGCACGGGGCUGCAUGGCCCAGUGUGAAAAACUCCGGUGGUAUAAGAUGGACCCGCGUCUGAUUAGCUUGUUGGCGGGGUGACGGCCCACCAAGGCGACGAUCAGUAGCCGGCCUGAGAGGGUGGACGGCCACAUUGGGACUGAGACACGGCCCAAACUCCUACGGAAGGCAGCAG
rnacentral:rRNA from 1 species